rnacentral:rRNA from 1 species
UACGAAGGGGGCUAGCGUUGCUCGGAAUUACUGGGCGUAAAGCGCACGUAGGCGGACUCUUAAGUCGGGGGUGAAAGCCCAGGGCUCAACCCUGGAACUGCCUUCGAUACUGGGAGUCUUGAGUGUGGAAGAGGUUGGUGGAACUGCGAGUGUAGAGGUGGAAUUCGUAGAUAUUAGGAAGAACACCAGUGGCGAAGGCGGCUCACUGGUCCGGUACUGACGCUGAGGUGCGAAAGCGUGGGGAGCAAACAGG